ACGCGACGUAGAAGGUGUUCCAAAAUCCAGCUACCUCGAUGAAUCACCUACAAGCAUACAAUGGUGGAUCUGCCUAUAAAGAUCAACUUUUUCCGAACCUUGAGGCGAAUAAGAUAGUCAUGGACGACCUCGAGCAAGUGUUGGCUCCCGGCUACGUAUAACGGAUUGCCCGUGACCGGGGAGGACCUUGGCCAUGGAUGUACGUCGGAUGUCGUGACGCAGGCGUCGCGACGCGCGCUUUUAUUCCUUUCAUGAUUUCCUUUCGCUACAAGUUAAAAAAAAA